rnacentral:tRNA from 1 species
AGCAAAGUAGAGCGGCUCGGACAGCUCGCUGGGCUCAUAACCCAGAGGUCGCAGGUUCAAAUCCUGUCCCCGCUAC